GGGUCGUUAGCUCAGUUGGUAGAGCACCGGGCUUUUAACCCGUAGGUCCUGGGUUCGAACCCCAGACGACCCACCA
rnacentral:tRNA from 1 species